UACAGAGGUCCCAAGCGUUGUUCGGAUUCACUGGGCGUAAAGGGUGCGUAGGCGGUCGGGUAAGUCUGAUGUGAAAUCUCACAGCUUAACUGUGAAACUGCAUUGGAUACUAUCCGGCUAGAGGAAUGGAGGGGAGACUGGAAUACUUGGUGUAGCAGUGAAAUGCGUAGAUAUCAAGUGGAACACCAGUGGCGAAGGCGGGUCUCUGGGCCGAUAUUGACGCUGAGGAGCGAAAGCGUGGGGAGCGAACAGG
rnacentral:rRNA from 1 species